AACUAGGUGAUCUAACCAUGAGCAGGGUGAAGGAAUGAGAAAUCAUUUUGAAGGCCCGAACUCUUUAAUGUUACAAAAUUAUGAGACGACUUAUGGUUAGCGGUAACAUGCCAAACGAACCUAGUAAUAGCUGGUUCUCCCCGAAAUAGCUUUUGGGCUAGCCUCGAGUGUUUAUGAUAGGGGGUAGAGCACUGAAUGGGGGCGGGUCGCAAGAUACCGUCUCUAACCAAACUCCGAAUACCUGUCAAUAUAACUCGGGAGUCAGACUGCGGGGGCUAAGCUUCGUAGUCAAAAGGAAAACAGUCCAGAUCGCAAUUUAAGGUCCCUAAAUAUAUACUAAGUGUAAAAGGUGGUGUUGUGACCACGACAAUUAGGAGGUUGGCUUAGAAGCAGCCAUCCUUUAAAGAAAGCGUAAUAGCUCACUAAUCAAGUUGUUUCGCGCCGAAAAUGUAUCGGGGCUAAGUAUAUUACCGAAAAUGCGGGUUAAUAGAUUUAUCUAUUAGCGGUAGAGGAGCAUUCUAUUCAGCGUCGAAGUCAAGUCGCGAGGCUUGGUGGAGCGGAUAGAAGAGAGAAUGUUGGCAUGAGUAGCAAGAAGGCGGAUGAAAACUCCGCCCACCGAAAAUCUAAGGUUUCCUGGGCAACGAAAAUCGACCCAGGGUUAGUCGGUCCUAAGGCCAAACUAGUGUAGUGCUAGUAACGUCGAUGGAUGAGCUGGUUAAUAUUCCAGCACUACUGUUGUUUUCCGACGGGGGGACGCAGUUUCAAAGUUUUAGCGUUCUAUGAUAUGGACGUUCAUAGCCUCAAGAAUGGCUCCAGGCAAAUCCGGAGCCAACAAUUCAAGGGGUCGUGAAGAGACAAAACCGCAAGGUGGCGUCAAUUUUAGCGGCGGAGCUGACAAGAAAAACCUCUAGGGUUAAGGCAACAGUAACCGUACUAAAACCGACACAGGUAGAUGAGGCGAGGAGCCUCAGGUGUACGAGAGAAACUUCGUUAAGGAACUCGGCAAAAUAGCGGCCGUAAGUUCGCAAUAAGGCCUGCCCCAGCAAUGGGGCCGCAGCUAAAGAGCCCAAUGAACUGUUUACCAAAAACACAGCUCCCUGCUAACUCGUAAGAGGAUGUAUAGGGGGUGAUGCCUGGCCAGUGUCCGAACGUCAAGAGGAGAGGUUAGCCGCAAGGCGAAGCCUUGAAUCCAAGCGCGGAUGAACGCCGGCGAUAACUAUAAUCGUCCUAAGGUAGCGAAAUUCCUUGUCGGGUAAGUUCCGACCUGCACGAAUGGCUUAAUCAGUUGGGCACUGUCUCGACGAAGUACUCGGCGAAAUUGCAAUGUGAGUAAAGAUGCUCACUAAUCGUAGUUGGACGAAAAGACCCCGUGAAGCUUUACUAUAGCUUGAUAUUGAAUUAGGGAUCUGCAUGUUCAGUAUAGGUGGGAGCCUUCGGGCGCCAGUGAGAUACCACCCUUGCAUAUUUUUAAUUCUCACCCCGAGAUGUCGGGGGACAGUGUCUGGUGGGUAGUUUGUCUGGGGCGGAUGCCUCCCAAAUCGUAACGGAGGCGUUUACAAAGGUUGGCUAUCCCGGAAUGGAAACCCGGGAGAUAGUGUAAAGGCACAAGCCAGCUUUACUGCGAGACUUACCGGUCAAGCAGUCGCGAAAGCGGAACUUAGUGAUCCGACCAUUCAAUAUAGGAUGGUGGAAGCUCAUCGGAUAAAAGCUACUCCGGGGAUAACAGGCUAGUCACGCCCAAGCGUCCACAGCGACGGCGUGGUUCGGCACCUCGAUGUCGGCUCGUCGCAUCCUGGGGGUGGAGAAGCUCCCAAGGGUUGGGCUGUUCGCCCAUUAAAGCGGCACGCGAGCUGGGUUCAGACCGUCGUAAGACAGGUCGGUCUCCUAUCCACUACGAUCGCGGAAAUUUGAGGAGGCCCUUCCUUAGUACGAGAGGACCGGGAAGGACGAAGCUCUGGUGUACCAGCUGUUCUAUCAAGGGCAUUGCUGGGUAGCUAUCUUCG
rnacentral:rRNA from 1 species